CUAGUUGUAUGUUUUGCUUGUAGGGAGAUAUUUAAAGUAAUACAUAAUUAGGUGUAUAUGAGUUGGUUUGGUCUAAUUUCACUUAGGCCUCGUUCGUUUUCCGGAUUGUAGUAGUGGGAAAAGUCGGUCAAUGGGAUUGUGAUUCCUAUUGAUCAAUUCUCCAACGUUCUUCUUCAAAAUUUAAAUGAGACCCACGAUAAACUUGAUUUUCCCAGUUUUGUGGCCGCUUCGAUCCUCCCGUUAUUGGUGCUGCUAUUUCUCUCCUUCAAGCUCAUUGUCAUUCUUCUAAUCAAUUGUCGCCGGUGAUCUUUCCCAUCACUAUCGUUGCUCGGCUAGCCACCAUUGUUGCUCGGCUAGCCACCAUUGUUGCUAUCCCACAUACGAACGGAGAAAUGCUUGUGUCUUUGAAGGAAAGAUAAAUAACCCUGCUCAUACUCUGACCUUUGCAAAUAGGCUGAUGCAGGAAGUCUCUCAUACCAGCCAUCUGCACAAGGGUUGGGUGAUUUGGAUGAGCCCCAAUAGUUAAAACAACCGGAGAAAUGGCUUUUGUUCUCUUCUUCAAAGGGAAACUUUCUUCCUUAUCUAGUGAAGUUUGGAUGCUAGCUAAUGAAAUGGCUGUUUUUUUAAACGUUUUUGAUUCARUCAUCUAGGAGCAUAUUCCUAGCUCAUAGAAAUCAGUGGCUCAUUUUUUGGCUAGUAGGUCUUGUUUGAAAGGUGCCUGGGUUGCUUUU